rfam:Homo sapiens chromosome 14, GRCh38 reference primary assembly.
GCCGGGCAUGGUGACUCAUGCCUGUAAUCCCAGCAUUUUGGGAGGCCGAGGUGGGUGGAUCACCUGAGGUCAGGAGUUCAAAACCAGCCUGGCCAACAUGGUGAAACCCCAUCUCUA